rnacentral:rRNA from 1 species
GAUGAACGCUAGCUACAGGCUUAACACAUGCAAGUCGAGGGGUAACAAGAGGAAAGCUUGCUUUUCUUGUUGACGACCGGCGCACGGGUGAGUAACGCGUAUCCAACCUGCCUAUAACUAGGGAAUAACCUUGCGAAAGUAAGACUAAUACCCUAUGAUUUCCUUUGAUGACAUCAGAUUAGGAAUAAAGAUUUAUCGGUUAUAGAUGGGGAUGCGUCUGAUUAGCUUGUUGGCGGGGUAACGGCCAACCAAGGCAACGAUCAGUAGGGGUUCUGAGAGGAAGGGCCCCCACAUUGGAACUGAGACACGGUCCAAACUCCUACGGGAGGCAGCAGUGAGGAAUAUUGGUCAAUGGGCGGAAGCCUGAACCAGCCAAGUAGCGUGCAGGAUGACGGCCCUAUGGGUUGUAAACUGCUUUUAUACAGGAAUAAAGUUAGCCACGUGUGGUUAUUUGUAGGUACUGUAUGAAUAAGGACCGGCUAAUUCCGUGCCAGCCGCCGCCGUAA